rnacentral:rRNA from 1 species
CGUGCCCUUUUCUAAGGAAUAGCCACUGGAAACGGUGAGUAAUACCUUAUACGCCCUUCGGGGAAAGAUUUAUCGGAGAAGGAUCGGCCCGCGUUAGAUUAGGUAGUUGGUGGGGUAAUGGCCUACCAAGCCUACGAUCUAUAGCUGGUUUUAGAGGAUGAUCAGCAACACUGGGACUGAGACACGGCCCAGACUCCUACGGGAGGCAGCAGUGGGGAAUCUUGGACAAUGGGCGCAAGUGAUCCAGCCAUGCCGCGUGAGUGAUGAAGGCCUUAGGGUCGUAAAGCUCUUUCGCCAGAGAUGAUAAUGACAGUACCUGGUAAAGAAACCCCGGCUAACUCCGUGCCAGCAGCCGCGGUAAUACGGAGGGGGUUAGCGUUGUUCGGAAUUACUGGGCGUAAAGCGUACGUAGGCGGAUCAGAAAGUAUGGGGUGAAAUCCCAGGGCUCAACCCUGGAACUGCCUCAUAAACUCCUGGUCUUGAGUUCGAGAGAGGUGAGUGGAACUCCGAGUGUAGAGGUGAAAUUCGUAGAUAUUCGGAAGAACACCAGUGGCGAAGGGGCUCACUGGCUCGAUACUGACGCUGAGGUACGAAAGUGUGGGGAGCAAACAGGAUUAGAUACCCUGGUAGUCCACACCGUAAACGAUGAAUGCCAGUCGUCGGGUAGCAUGCUAUUCGGUGACACACCUAACGGAUUAAGCAUUCCGCCUGGGGAGUACGGUCGCAAGAUUAAAACUCAAAGGAAUUGACGGGG